rnacentral:misc_RNA from 1 species
UUAAGUUCAGCGGGUAAUCCCACCCGAUUUGAGGUCAAGUUGUCAAAGAUUGUCCGCAUGUGCAGGACGGUUCGAAAGCGCAGAGCCCACCAAGCGGCGUGUCCCAAAGGAGCUUGAACCAGUGAAGAUACUUAUCACACUGAUGACGCUGCAAACAGCAGGGUGCACUCAUGCAUUUCAGACCAGCCAUGGAGACACGG